GACAAGCAGUGAGCAUUGUGGUUUAAUUUCGACGCAACGCGCAGAACCUUACCUGGGCUUGCAUCCCGAUCGCAUCCCAUGGAACAUGGGAGUCAGUUCGGCUGGAUCGGUGACAGGUGCUGCAUGGCUGUCGUCAGCUCGUGUCGUGAGAUGUUGGGUUAAGUCCCGCAACGAGCGCAACCCUUGUCCUUAGUUGCCAGCAUUCAGUUGGGCACUCUAAGGAGACUGCCGGUGUUAAACCGGAGGAAGUGGGGAUGACGUCAAGUCCUCAUGGCCCUUAUGUCCAGGGCUACACACGUGCUACAAUGGCCGGUACAAAGGGCUGCAAGACCGUGAGGUUGAGCGAAUCCCAGAAAGCCGGUCUCAGUUCGGAUUGGAGUCUGCAACUCGACUCCAUGAAGUUGGAAUCGCUAGUAAUCGCGGAUCAGCAUGCCGCGGUCGAAUACGUUCCCGGGCCUU
rnacentral:rRNA from 1 species